rnacentral:misc_RNA from 1 species
AAGUCGUAACAAGGUUUCCGUAGGUGAACCUGCGGAAGGAUCAUUAACGUGGCGGCCGCAAGGCCGUCGCUGAGAUAGAACCCUUGCCUUUUCGAGUACCCAACGUUUCCUCGGCGGGUCCGCCCGCCAACGGGGACACAACCAAAACCUUUUUGCAACCUGACAUCAGUCUGAAUCGCAAACAAAAUCAAUCAAAACUUUCAACAACGGAUCUCUUGGUUCUG